rnacentral:lncRNA from 1 species
UGUCAACGUCACUUUGAAUAAAAUACAUGGCUGGAAAUCUCAAAGGAAUUUCUAAGAUUCACACGUAGGUUUGGGUUAGGGAAGGAUAUCAUUUGGGAAUAACAUGUCUAUACCCUUCCUUGAACAUCUACAUCACACUUUUUCAAUUUUCCUUUUUGACUAUGGGCUACUCUUCUUUGUUUUCUCUCUUUUAUCAUGCCUACUUAUUACUUCCUUUGUUUACCCAUUUUUUUCAUUUCUUUUUCUUGCAACUUCCAUGCAAUUCAUUCCUUUUGUUGGAUCCUUUGUUUUUCUAUUCCUUUAUUUUCAAUACUUAGGCAUAUUCAGCAUUUCACUAAUAAUUUUGUGGCCUCACACUCUCUUUCAUUAAACUUUACUACCCCGAACGUAGGCUUUAAGCCUCAAGUUACAUUUCCAAGUUCAAGGAGGGUUUGGUUCAAAAGAGGGAUAAAAAAAAUGGAUCACAGUUUGUAAUAAGUUUGCCAAAG